rnacentral:lncRNA from 1 species
UUUGAUGGAUUUAACACAUAGUGCUCGUGACCGAUUGUUCCUAGAGCAAAUGGCAAAGAGCUUGAUGGUUGGUAUCCGAAACCUAAGUUCGCAUCCUAAUAGAUUCACAUUUUAAGCUAAGUGUAUUUCUAAAUAAAAUAAACGAAACGGGUAGCGUAUUACUUAUCUCUCUCAAAAAAAGAAGAAGAAGAAGAAGACAUAUAGUGCUGGUGCACCUUAGUUUGUAUUCUAACUCAUUCAGAAUAAAAUAAUAAAUAAACAUAAAAGAUAAUAAAAUU